rnacentral:lncRNA from 1 species
UCUGCCUUCCCUGUGCACAUGAAACUGCUUCAAAAAGAAAACAGCUUCCAAAUGGACAUUAUUUUACAGUUGCCCCUGGUGCACAUGAAACUGCUUCAAAAAUAAAACAGCUUUCAAAUGGACAUUUGGUUUACAGUUGCCCUUUGUAUAUCCCUCUCACAUAAGCCCUAGAAGGGGGGACAAAAUCUCUAAAUAUUUGACACAAAUGGGAUGUACUUUCAAUUUGGUAACCAAUGAUGAUGGCCUUUUAUUGAAGACCAUAGACAAGCAAAGCUCCAACAGCACCGACACCAGCUACCAGACCUAUGAUAACCCCAAUCGGGGGCAACCCACCACCGAUUGCUUUCCCAGUGUUCACGUCGUACCGAGCAAACUUUUUCUUCGGUGCUUGACACUGAGGGCAUCCGUAUGAAUCCGGCUGCGGAUCAAGCAAAGUGCAUAAUUACAUUACACUCCAUUUAUUGCAAAAUCUACAUGCAUACCAACAAUUAUAUCAACUUUUUCAGGGUGAAAUAGCCUCUGAACAGCUAAGAUGGAGAAAAUAAUUCGUGACAGAACAAUCAUCUUACCUGCUCAUCAAACGGUUUCUGCAAGGUGUAUACGUACAUAUCCACAAUCCAGGCAGAUGUGAGUGGCUCUAGCCUGCACACCAAGUUUUGCAGAGCAUGUAAGACCGCCUAUCCUUUCUCGAACUUGAUACAAAUUGAACCGUACUGGAAUUAUUUGCGUGUAAGGAAGAGGUAAACCUUUUGAGCCUCCGUCAACUUCCUCCCAAAUCGGGGAGGAGCAGGGCGCUUUGGUAACCGCUUAACAUCUACUUCUGCGCCUCUGCAAUGAAAGCAUGCAGUGGUCAGUUCAGACGCAAGAAUAUUCUCUGCUGCGUGAAUUGAGUGCUCUUCAGGUGGAAAAGUUAAGAGAUAUCUCAUUUUUCUUAACUAGGAAGAAGAUCUCAAACGAUGUCUCUUUCUGGCUCUAACCUUCCCCUUUGGGUUUCCUUUUUUGUCAAUGUCUUCCAAGAGCACGAAAGAGCUAGAGCUCAACUAGGUGGAUGCAAUUGUCUCAGCACAACAUGGUGGAGUAACUAUUCAAUGUUAGCUUCGUCUGCAUAUAUUACGAGACUAUUUUCAGUUUCAUUCCUCCAAAUUAUAUUACUUUGCCAGAAGACUUCUUCUGGCAACCAUGCCACAGCAACCUCAUAAUUUCUUAGAACGCACCUUAGCAUCUGAAACCCCUAAGUGAAGUGGGACUUGGAGGUUGAAGUUUAGAACAAAUUUGCUUCCAACUCUACCGAUUCUCGUGUAAAUUGCCUCAUAGGGAGCUAUCACAGGAAAUUUGUGGUUCCCCAUACGUGCUUGCAAAUGCAAAGAAGUGUAGCACCACUUUGAUGAGAAGAACUCCCUAAUUGACAUAGGAAUGAUGGCUUAUGCAACGUAAAUCGCAUGCCAGUCAAAUUUCUGAACUUCGAAUUUUUCAAGUCGGCUAUAUAAGUAGGUGGCAGUACCAUGUUCGACUAUCUUUGUUCAAUUAAUCAAAGGACAAUCUCUUGGGCAAAGAAAAAGAAGCCUGAAUGCCACAAACUUACCUUCGUAUGAGUUUAUAUCCCCAUAAUUGAUUUUGAAGUUCUACAAUAUUUGGGCUGCAUUAAGAAGUAAUCAAUGACUUCUUGAAGAACAUUACUGAAAAAUGUUAAAUUUUUUCACAAAACAAUUGAAGCUUUAAUUUUACUUUAUGAGCUCGCAUCGGUAUCAAAACAGUAACAGUCACGUUCGCUGCCCACAAUUUAAGAUUUGAGAGCUUGUUCGCUGCUCCCAUCCAUAUCUAUCCCUCUUUGCACAAUUUUCUCCAUCUCUAUCGGCGCCGUAAGCUACUUGACCAUAACUCUCCUGCAAAUAAUGACCAGACUUUCACCUCCUCUGGUGACGCAGGUUUCGGAUAGCCAGCAACAGAUUGGCUGGUAGGCGGUUGCUUUAGAACCGUUCCGCCAGAGCCCGGUUCUCUAUCGCCCAACGACGACCUUUCCGAUGCAUCUCUAUCGGCGCCGUAAGCUACUUGACCAUAACUCUCCCGCUUCACCCAAUCUCGCUCUUCCUUUGUCUCGAAGGUUCCUUCAUUUUCUUCUUAUCCGCCACCCAUUCCCGUACAAAGAAAUCUCUAUCCACUCGAGAUUCAUACGAAGUAGUUCCUCUAACCGGGCGAGACGACGUAUACAGAUGUUCCGCCCCAAAAGGAGAGAACUUGCUUGCGACCCACGAGCCACGGCGAAUCCUCCCGACACAUUUCCAGUCAAGCCGAGAGAUUUCGGACAUUCACCGGAGACGACAUCUCGGUGCAGCUGCAGGGCACCGAUUGCGCGCCCGCUUCGAAGCUGACCCAAAUGACGGAGCAGAAACCUUUCGGCGACGAGACUCGAUUGACGAAUCCCGUUCCCAUUCUUCAGUCUCAUCCGGACGGCCGCAUCGAACGCAGCGAACAACUCACGACGGCCCACGUCGACGGUGCACCAGUCCCAGAAAGCCUGCGCAAGCACGAAUUUCGCGUCGACGCGAGAUCGUUCACGCGAGGGCGCGGCAUUUAGAUUAGGGAGCGGGGCGCGCGUUGAAGUAGCGCGAAGCGAAUGAUCGAAAGCCCAAAAAAACCACGGCUCCAACUCGGCCGAGAGAGAUGGAUCAUAGAGAAAGAGGAGAAGAGCAAAUUCGUCGUCAAAAGAAUAAAAAAUAAAAAAAAUGUUGGAUUUACCUUCCGAGCUCUCUUCGAUUAUNNNNNNNNNNNNNNNNNNNNNNNNNNNNNNNNNNNNNNNNNNNNNNNNNNNNNNNNNNNNNNNNNNNNNNNNNNNNNNNNNNNNNNNNNNNNNNNNNNNNUCUACAGAGAGGCCGCGGAGGUGGCAUCUAAGGCACGUCCAAACAGUGCCUCUCAGAAUCAGUCGCGUUGGUAAAUUUUUAUCCAAAACUGAUUCUGGGACAAUUUAGUUCCCGGAAUCAGUUUUGGGCAAGAAUUUAGAAUAAAAAAAAAUUAUGAUUCUCCAUCCGAGAAUCAGAAAGAGAAUCAAAAGUGCCGAAGCCUUAUCUCCUCUCUACUCUCUCUCGUCCUCUCGUCUCGACUCUUCUCAUCAGUCUCAUUCUCUCCCUCCUCAAGAAUGGCGACGGCUGCUCCUCCCUCCGCAAGAACGGCGACGGCGACUGCUGCUUCUUCAUCGUUGAAGGGCGUCGUUCAAGGUGAGUUCCCUUCUAUGGGUGGUUCGGCGUCUGCGACGGGUGGCGCUCGUCGUCCGACCCCUGGGGCCGAUUCGGCUUCGCUCACCCUCGGCGAACUGGCCGAGGGCGAGCGACGGUGAGCUGGCCGAGGGGUCGCUCGCCGUCCGAUCCCUGGGGCCGACUCGGCGGGCGCCCUCGCCGAGCUGGCCGAGGGCGAGCGACGGCGAGCUGGCCGAGGGGUCGCUGGCCUUUUCUGUAUUGUGCUGGAUCUGUAAUUUUGUGUGCUGUGCUUGGUCGAAUUCGAAUCUGGAAAUUGCGAUCUUUGACUUAUAGUGCGAAUCUUAGAUCCGAAAUGAUGCUAACGUUUAGGUGGUGAUGGAUGUAUCAUGUCAGCUCAGGGAAGUGGAGGUCAGGCAGUCCUUGUCUUUUAAGGUUGCGUAGGAGCCGUGUCUAUUAUCUUGAUUAUUUAUCUCCUCGAUCCGGACAAAAGCCGGGCAUUGCAUUGCGACUCGGGUUCACAAAGGGUUGUUCUUGGUGAUCAGAUCCCAAUUGAUUAGGACGAGAGUAGAUUUGGUUUUAUAGAGGUUAUGUGUUUGUUGGAGAGUCAAAUUUGGCCUCUAGCUUUGUAGAGGUGAGGCGGUAUGAUGAAACAGAAGUUAAUGAACGCGAAGACAAAUGGUUGAUGGUCUUUUACGCAUGGAAGUUAAAAGUGAUAUAGAAUGGUUCCCUCGUUUCACGUGGAUUCAUUUUGAUCUUGAGUUCCUGCAUACCACUAUUGCCAAUUCUUUGUGCGGAGAGCUUAUUCUUAUUUCGAUGUCAUGCAAGGGUUACAUCGGGAUUCACAACUCCGAUUUCAGAGACUUUCUUUUGAAGCCAGAGUAGAGUUGCUCCGUGCUAUUGUGGACUCCGGUUUCGAGCACCCAUCCGAAGGCAAACUUCAUAUUCAUUAAAGUAUUGCAAAUCAAAUGGCAAGGGAUUACAAUAUGCCGAAGAUUCAAUAACUUUAUAUUUACGACUUUUGUAAUAUUGUUUUUAAUUAUUGACUUAUCAAAGCCGAUAUUCAAAGUUGAACAAUGGACUAUGUUACUUUAUUAUUCAUUUAUGGAUAAGUUGUAGUGAUGAGUUUCUCGUUAAAGCCUUUUCUUUGUUUCGAAGAGUCAUGUUGGUUUGAAAACUUUUAUCUUCUUAAACGUUGGAUGUUCGGUUUUGGGGAAGGGUAUAUAUAUAUAUAGAGAGAGAGAGAGAGAAAAGUAUCUUGGCUAAAUUAAAAUUAACAUUCAUUCAUAUUAAUUUCAAAAUGGAUUAAAUAUUUAAUCAUAUAAAAGUAAAUAUUAAUUGAAAAUGAGAAAUCACCAUGAUAAAAAAAAAAAACUCUUAUUUAAACAUAAAUAAUAUUGAAAUUCUAAUAAGAAAACCAAAUUUAAAAUAACAACAAUUUUUGUUUUUAUUUUUAUCUAUUUUUUAUUUCUAUAUUUUAUUUUAAUUUCUUCCUACUAUGAAAUAUAUAUUUACUGUAUAUAGAAUACAUAUUUAAUUUUAUAUUAUAAUUUAUUAUUUAUAUUUAUUACAUAUUUUAAGGAUAUUAGUAUAGUUUAUACUAUGGUUUAUUAUUUACUAUAUAAUAAAAAUUGAUUAGUUAAUAUUUUUAUUACUUAGUAUAAAAAUAUAAUUAAUCAGUGAAUGGUUUAUGAAAAUUCAAUAUCAAAUUUAUAUUCAUCUAAAAAGGUAAUUAAAAAAGAAUUUGAAUAGAAAUUUUAUACAGUUACCAAAUGCAUUUAUGUUCUUUUUCUAUUCCAGAAUUAGAAAUUUUAUUUGUUACCAAACGCGUUUUUUAUACUCAGAAUCAAUUCCUGGGAACAGAAUAAAAAAUAAUCAUUUUUGGUAAGAAUCAGUUCCCGAAAACAGAAUUGUUAUCAAAUGCACCCUAAAAGAAAAUGGAGCUGCGUCUCUACGAGCAAUUCUCAUCAAAUUACUAAUCACUCCCUCACUUCUCCCAUUUGAAGAAAGUUUUACUUGCCCCCACUUUCGAAAUCAAGAAUGGUCCAGAGUCGUCACCUCUUUCUGUCGAGAAGAAGCCCACGGAUCACCCGCGAAAAAGAAAAUGCUAGUUAAACUAGUCCCUCAGUCAUUGCUUUUUACCCUCUGAAAAGUUACCGAGCCACGAAGAGUCACUAAUAAUUGUGAUACAUUAAAGGGUAAAAAUCACCGGAGACUCCAAAUUGAAUUCACUAUAAUACCUAUGCCCUGGGUCCUCGGCAUGACCUUAAACUGCAGCGCUCUGGGGAACAACCCCGAUAACAAGGCCCCACGCAGCUGGGUAAUGCCAUGCCUCCCGGACAUUCUCCGUGCCUGAAGGCCAUACAAGGGUAUUCCCUUUCCUGGGGAAGAAAAACAACAGGUUGGGAGCAAAGACCAGGCUCUUGGAAAACACAUAAGAACCUAGCUGGACGUGAGCAGGUCCUUAAAAGGCUCUGACCACCAGGAGAGUCUGGGUAGAGGCCCGGGUCCGGGGUCUCGAGAAAAAUAUACCAGCCCUAUUGGUUCUUUCGUCCACACCCCCCUUACGGGGGUAGGGGAAUCAGCUUGGAUCCCCGUAAAGCCUUCUCCGCUGAAAAUGAAAGGUCCAAAGGAGAACUCCUCUAGGUGGACAGAUGGACUUGCCUUAGCCGUAGCUGUUUUUAGCGUCACCAUUGCCACCAUCCUAACCUUCGCCAAACCCAGAAAGAAAGCGAAGGAGGAAGUUACAAAAAAAGGACAAAGAAAAUAAGAAAAGAACAACAUACAAUGAGUUGACAUAUUUUUUCCACGUAAAUAUUUCAUGAGCACCAUUUACUUUCUAGUGUGAAAUUUUCACUGGUAUUAUUUAACGAAGGAGAGAUAAAUAUAUCAUACCAAAGCAAAUUUAGAAUUUUUUAUGUCAGCGAAAAAAUUUAAAACAAAUAUGUCACACAUUUGCAAGUUUACAGUUUAAGGUAUUACAAAAAAAUUAAGGAUAAUUAUGUCUUGAGAUUUUUUGUGAUUUUUUAAUAUUAAAAUUUUAUUAUUCUUUCUUAUCGAAAUUCGCUAAUCAUGUCGAAGAAUUAGCAGCGACUAAAAUUGGAUUGCGAUUGCAAUUGGGAUUUUCGGAUUUCAUCCACCUCCCAAGCACCUGCUUCUGCUUUCUCCACUCAAACUGUAACCAUCCUUACCCAUUUCCUGCGCUCAAUCUAUCACUUGUUUCCUCUUACAUUUGCAUUCAGCCUUUCACACAUAGUAAAUAUCAACUCCAAUGAGAGAGUUACUAAUCGGAAUUUGUUAAUACGUGGAAUUUUACUGUGUCUGAAAAAAUGCAAAAUUUAGUUGCUGUAGCUAUUAAUAAUGGUGAAAUCCACCUUUUAUGACUAGAAAGUUUCAAACGCCCUCAAGAUUUCAGAAUAUAACUUUGCAUUCACUUGACUAUUUGUGAAUCACUCAAGCCUAUCUCCUUGCGAUGCUUCAGAAUCACAUCCAGAUGGAUCUGUGCAUGUGCAUAUCGUUACACUCGAACCAUCUAAUUCACUAUCAAGAAAAUGUACGAUGCACUAAAUAAGUGGGCGCGCAAUAUGGCCUACGCCAGUAUACCGUUUCCUUAUCAAACAGAAACAUAAAAGAGAGGGGGAAGAAUUGUCCUAGACAGCGAACAUUACACAUAAAAGAUGGUCUUUAAAGCAGAUUGCAAACGCUGCAGUCCUUAUCAUGACGGUGGGCAGCCACCUACAGAGAGGUGUAUCCCCAUGAUCUUCACAUACACAUCAUGUGAACUGCCGUCUCAUAUAGGUAUCCUCGUGUACAAAAACAGGAUCAGCGCCGGUUUGAGGAGGGAAUUGUGGUUGUCCCAUAGCCACACCUCCUUGAUUAGGCAGAGGCGUGUUGCCCCAGCCUUGGUCGGCGUUAUUUUUUGCUGAAGUCAGGGCGAGAUAUGAGAUCAUUCCGAGGGUAACUGUAGCAAGGGACAAGAGGGCACCUCCUGCGGACACACCAGGUUUCACGACAUAACAAUUUCCGUACCAGUUGUACCUGUUUGCCGCAGCAUGCCGGUCGUUUAGUGCAGCCGCUGUUAGCAACAAGAAGAACGCGAUGACGAAUGUGAUCCUGCAUGGCGAGGAUAGUAGACAGUGAACAUGCAUAUGACCGUGGGCAAACAGUAUAUGCUCUCUGAACUGCGGCAAGAUCACAAAUUAUGCAUAAAAUUCAUCACCAAUUAGUUCUACAUUUGCAUAACUACACAAAGUGCAAUCCUCAACCUUAUUAUUAAGUAUGCUCAUGUCAGAAUCUGGCCCACCAAUACUCUCCUCUAUACUUAUGAUCUAUAUAGGAAAUAGUUCUUGAAUUAACUCUGCCACUCGCACCAAUCAAAGACAUUGUUGACGACUCUGCUAAAUCACAAGUCUGCAUUCUUUAGAUGAUUUAAUAUCCGUUAAUCAAAGAAAUCCUUUUCCAUCUACAUCUAUGCUAUUAACAACCAAGAAAAUUCAGUUCAAUCCUCCACACGAACCAUGUUCCAAUCCAAGCAGUCCAGCAAUGCAAGAUUGGUGCUGGCAUUUGAUUGCUUAUCAUUAUUUUCACCCUUCUUCAGCAUCAUCCGGUGGAUUGUCAUCCGCCAAUGCCUCUGAUAAACCAGAGGUAAUACAAUAUUGUUCAAUGGGAAGAAGCUCGAAAUUCAAUAAAAUUUAGACAGGGUUGUUGCUAGUUAGUUUACCAUCGUUACAUCUCUCCAUAGAAGAAUUACAAGUCUGACAGACUUAACCAGACAAAAGUAUAAAAGAACCUGAUGAAUAGGUAAAAUGACAAUGGGAGUAUUCAUAGCAAUGUGGAGGAGUAGUAGACAUAGACUGUCAAAUUAAAUAAAGAAAUAAAACAAAAGAAGAAACUUGUAGGGUCUCGAUUACUAGCUGCAUUUUCCAUCCAAAUAUGCUGCCUACCAUGCAGCACAUCCACAUAUUCCUGACACCAUCACUCAAUAAAAACGCCAGAUGUACACGAACACCACAAAAAAAGACAUUGUAUUUUAACCACAUCUAGAUGCCAAAGGUGUGGUUGAAAUUUUACCAGGAAAGAAUGAAGCAGAUAACUGCAAUAGUCCCACUAGAGGUCGAUGGAUGAGUGUUUCUUCUGCAGCAAAUGCACCCAGUUGCCAUACUAAUGAUCACUUGGGCGAUCAAGAGAGUUAGCACAGCUGUUGAACCUAGACUCACAGCAGGAGUACGUGGAUAUUCACACUGUGUCACUUCAGAAGCCUACGAAUCUCAAAAGGUAAUCAACCGUUAUACACAAGAGGAAAAGAAUAACAUCUUCAGCUAUCUAUUAAGAAAGUAUCAUAUUUAGCCAUGUGGUGAGAGAAAAAUAUCAACCAGUGAAACCAGGCACAAGAUUUAUAUGAUUUAGUGUCAGCAUAUAUCCAGAGCAGAACAAAACAAUCCACCAUGAGAAAGCAGGAAACUAGGACUUUACCUAAGAAAGCACUGAGACCUAACCUCAGACACUAUGAUAAAUUCCAACAAGAGAUCACGACAGAAAUUACCUUUUCAUGAGACCACCGACAGGAGUGCUUAUACGACAACCUAAUCCUCCUAAAUAGAAUAAAAUGAAAAAAGAAUUGGCAUAUUUGUAAGGAAACCGGUCAUAAAAUGCUCAAGCUCUCUAAUGGAUUGAAUCUGACAAUUCACACAGUGAAAGGACAUUUCUGCUCUGCUUUUAUGAGACAUUCAAUGAAAUAGAAACCAUCUAGGCAGUACAGAGGGAUUUCUGACAUUGAGUUACAUUCUGUAUAUGAAUCCUUGGACUUGCUCUCUUUUACCUUGAUUCUCCAUCCACUGUCACGAAACAAUAAAUCUGUGUGCACGUACUCUCUUCAACCAAAAACACAGCAUGGGCCGCUAGGGUGCUAAUUGAACACCAGACCAUUAACUGCUGAAAAGCAAUCCAUCUUGCCACAAUAUAGCAAUGAAGCAGAAUGCCAAUUAUAGUCACUUCAAGGGCACUCGAAUGGACUUCCAGGAAGUGACACAAAUAAACUUUUCCUGAGCAGCCCCUCACCAAUCCCAGUCAAACCAUGAAAACAUUCCCAAGUGCAUCUCCUAACUAAAUGAGAUGGCUUAACCAUUUUAUUCGCUAACAUAACCAUCAUAGCGUCAAUCAGAACUAAAGUGGGAUGGUUUAACCAUUUUUUGUCUGUGUCGUAUUAGGUCCCGCCCAAGUCCCCCAUCCCUGACGCAGCCUAGACAUAAUUUGUACAUUUAGCAGUUCACUUUCUAGUUUCUAACUAAGUACUUCACUUCCUAGUAGAAACUGGACUUGGCAAAAUCUUUAACGUAAUCAGCUGAACAUGGGAGAGAUGCAAAUGGAAUCCAAAAGCAAGUCACUCCUGGCUUUGGAGUUUGCACCAGCAAGAAAUCGAUACGAUACGUAAGACUUCUACUAAGCACCUCGGCAAGAACCUGACACAAUCUCCCAACGGAGCAAUCUUUCAGAAAAAGGAAACUCUAAUGGGACAUACAGUGUUAAACUCAAACUCUAAUCACUCAAAAGAUAGCGCAAAACACAAAUUAGCAAUCCAUACCCUUUUUCCCGGGGGCAAUUACAAAAGGGAGAAAAAGCAAUCUGAGAGAAAGAAAAUAAAAUUGCGCCGGGAAUAGAGGAGGGAGGGACUCCAACUGAAAGCUGGAAGCUCAAAUAUCUAACACAAGCUCACGGCUCAGCGAAGAAGUGUUUCCUAAACAACCAGAAGGCAAAAGCAUACGAGAGGAAACUUUUCUUGGCAAUGUCAACCGGGGGAUUCAAGAGGAACAAACAAAUGGAAAUGCAAACCCCUCCAAUCCAUCACAUGUUUCUCAUUCAAAACGCGGGCUUCUUACCUUUAUCCUGGUGGCCUCGGCGGCGAAACCCGUCGCAGCUGAAAGCAGCCCCAAGAACCCCACGACCCCACAUAUCACACCCUUCCUAUCCAUCUCUCUCUCUCUCUCUCUCUCUCUCUGUGGGGGAGUAUGACACCUCACAAAUGAAGAAAUCUCAGAAAUGCAGAGUAGGUGAAGAACAGAGUAGCAAUAUUAGUUUUGAGUCUCGGUGAUCUGUGGAAGCUGAGGUUUUCCCAGGAAAAGAGAGAAGAAAACGAGGAAAUACGCUCGCACAGAGAGAGAGAGAGAGAGGAGAAAAAAAGAAGCGAGAGUUCCUAAGCAAGUUACUCCCUUUUUGUUAAGUCCAAAGCUGCGCUCACAGGUUAACAAGUUAACAACCAGAUGGGAUUGGUUCUAUUUUCUCGUGGACCUAAGAUAACUAAGAUCCAUUUGCCCUGAAGGCGUACAAUUUAAUGGGGGGAGUGUCGUGGGUCAAGGAUAAGAAGGCGACAGCUUCUGCGGCUGCGCUAUUUUCGAACUCCACAAAAAGCUCAAAAUGGUGUCUUUCAAGUUUCAACUUUUACUAUCUUCGUCCAUUCACACACGAAAACGUUGAGGGACUGAGCAACACCCGAUAACUUUUUACUCUACUGAGGUAAAAGUUGACCCAGUCGACUAAUAAUUCCCUUGUCUAUUUGAACUCUGCAGGAACGAAAUUUCAUGGAUUCUGCCGGCAAAGGCAAUAUCCAUGCCACGCUCGAGCUAAGUUUUCUUGUUUUUUUUUUUUUUUGGUUGAAAUGCUUGAGCUAAGUCUACGACGUGUGUUCAGAAACGAAAUUUCAUGGAUUCUGCUGGCAAAGGCAUCGUUUGACCAUACCCAUGUCACGCUCGAGCCAAGUUCUUUUGUUUUUGGUCGAAACCCUCGAGCUAAGUCUACGACGUGUUAUAUGGGGGCUCCCUGUGUUAGAGAGAUAAAACAGAUAUCAAAAGAGCAAUUAAACACAGGAGCUAAUAAUAGUGGAAGAAUCAGACUUAGCGAAGUAACUGAGGCAGAGAAGGCUGGAACAGAGGAAGCUAGAGCAGAGGAGAGUCGUUAGCUGAAGAAUCUGGAGCAGAGGAAGAUUGAUGAGCUGGCGAUCCAUGGCAUGAAUUGAUGAGCUGGUGAUCCAUGGCAUCAAUGAGCUGGCAAUCCAUGGCAUCAAAAUCUGGAAGAACAGAAGUUGAUCAAGCAGGAUUAAAGGAACUGCACAGAUUAAAGCUAGAAGGACUCUCGCAUAUUUCUAUAUUGGUUAUUCUGUUGUAACAAGUUUGUAACAGAAGUACUUGAACUACCUGCACUAGUAUAAAAGGAUAAGAGAAUGAGAGUAGAGUCAGCAAACUUACCUUCAUCCUUUAAAACUCAGUUUUCUCUUGGAAUCAUCUGUAGCAAUUCUCUUCAUCUCUGCAUUUUCUCAAGAAUGGUGAAGUUUUGUAAAGCGUGAUCUCGAACUUCAGAAGAAUGAAUACAUUUCAGCUGAGGUAUUACUCAUUGAUUGUUCAAGAGUUGAAAUCUCUUUCAUAUUCAGAUCGUAUUCUAUGUUCAAUUUCUUCUCAUGGUAUCAGAGCUUGAAUGCCUGGGAGUAAUAGAUCUGAUAUGUUCUUGCUGCAAGAUAGUAUAGAGAUUCUGGUGAUUUCUUAAGUAAUUGAUCUUCAAAGUUUGCUGGGUUAUUUCUUCAAAUCUUCAAGGUUUCUGAUCAUAUAAGAAUGGCAACUAGAGUGCAGAAGUAUCCUUUCCCUAUCCAUGUGAAUAUAGCUAAUUUCGUUACUAUCAAAUUGAAUGAAGAGAACUUUCUGCUAUGGCAAGCUCAAUUCAAUCGAUUUCUGAAAAGCCAAGAUCUGAUUGGCUUUAUUAAUGGUGAAACAUUACCUCCAACACAAAUGAUACAGACAGUAACAGGAGAAAUAAUGAAUCCUGAUCAUCUGGAUUGGAUAAAAACCGACCAGCUCAUAUCAUCCUGGAUUAGUGGUGCUGUAUCAGAGAAUAUUCUAAGCCUGAUAAUUGGUUUAGAAACCUCACUUGAAGUAUGGCAGGCUCUUGUAAAUAAGUUUACACAGAAAUCUAUUGCAAAGGAGUUUGAGUUGAGAGGAAAACUUCAGGCUUGCAAGAAGAGAAAUAGAUUACUAAGCGAAUACCUUCGUGAGUUCAAAACUAUCUGUGAUCAGUUAAAUGCAAUUGGAAAGCCUGUUGAUGAUAUAACAAGAAUGUUUGGCAUACUCGAAGGGCUAGAUUCUGAAUAUGAAACUUUCAGGACAACCAUGUAUUGUCUAAAGCCUCAGCCAGAAUAUGAUGAGGUAAUUUCACAACUUGAAAGGUUUGAAACCCGAUUACAGACAUAUUCUGUGAAUGAGUAUAAUACCAACUUGGCCUAUUACGGGCAAAGAAGAAUUGGAACAAGUCAGCAGAGAGUUAAUCCUAGAAAUCAAAGAGAAAAUUUUCGAGGAGAAGCUAACUAUGGUAGAGGACAGUCAUUCACUCGAAGGGAGUAUGGAAACAAUGUUACAGAAGCAGGAAGGAAUCAACAGAUUAAAGUGAAUACCCUGAAUUCAACUCAGCAAGGUCAAGUUAACAAGGAUAAUUGGUCUAAUUUUGGACAAGGAUUUAGACCAUAUUCCAAUCCUGCACAAAGAUAUCAAGGUGUUAGGUCUUAUUCACCACAAAGUUCAAAUAGUGGAAGACAAACACAGAGUACAAAACCUAUGAGUAAUGGAUUACUGCAAUGUCAGAUUUGUAAGAAAUCAGGCCAUACAGCACUCAGAUGUUGGUACAGGUUUGAUAACUCAUACCAGGCAGAGGAAAUACCAACUGCAUUGGCAGCAGUUCAUAUUGAAGAACCAUAUGGCUCGGAAUGGUACCCAGAUACAGGGGCUACAGCUCACAUUACCUCAGAACCUGGUAAGAUUCAAAACUUCGGUACAUAUAAUGGUACUGACACUGUCAUGAUAGGAGAUGGAUCUCAUUUGUCAAUCUCCUGCAUUGGUAAUGGAAUAUUGAACAUAGAAAAUAGCAAAUUACCUCUGAAUGAUGUUUUAAUAGUCCCUGAAAUCAAAAAGAAUCUUCUAUCAGUGUCAAAACUCACUGAUGAUUAUCCCUGUGCUUUUAUUUUUGAUAAAAAUGGGGUAUAUGUGAAGGACAAUCACAAACAUACAACAGUGAAGCUAGGAAGGAAAGUCAAGGGACUAUACCAGGUGGAACCUAAAGUUGCAGAGGUCUUCUUCACACAAACUCAACCAGAGGUUGGAGAGGACAUCUGGCAUCAAAGACUUGCUCACACUAGUCUUAAAACAGUGGAGACUCUACAGAAACAACAACUCAUUCAUUUUAGUUCUAAAGCUCAGAAUAUAUGUAGUAGCUGUCAAACUGCCAAAAGCUCAGCUUUAUCUUUCCAUUCCUCAGAACAUAUCUCGAAUAUUCCAUUAGAAAGAAUACACUGUGAUGUAUGGGGACCUUCACCAAUUCAAUCUGUUCAGAAAUUCUCCUAUUAUGUCAUUUUUGUGGAUGAUUUUUCUCGGUAUAGUUGGUUAUACCCAAUGAGACAAAAGUCAGAAGUCUAUGAGAUAUUCAUUAUGUUUCAAAGACUUAUAGAAAAUCAGUUUAACCACAAGAUCAAAAUCUUUCAGAGUGAUGGAGGAGGUGAGUUUACUAGCAGUAAAUUUCAAACUCAUCUACAAAAAUGUGGAAUCAAGCAGUAUAUUUCUUGCCCUCACACACCAGAGCAAAAUGGUGUCUCAGAAAGAAAGCAUCGACAUGUCAUUGAUUUGAGUCUAGCAAUGAUGUAUCAUGCUACAAUACCACUGAAAUAUUGGGUAGAUGCAUUCAAAACAGCAGUUCACAUUAUCAAUCUUCUGCCCUCAACAAAACUACAUAUGCAUUCACCCCAUUAUAAGCUCUACAACAAGACACCAGACUAUUCGUAUCUUCGAGUCUUUGGGUCAGCAUGUUAUCCAUGUCUCAGGCACUACACAAAGCAUAAGUUUGAUCCAAGAUCACUUACAUGUAUCUUUCUUGGAUAUAGUGAGAAGCAUAAGGGAUACAGAUGUCUCUUACCUACAAAUGGAAGAGUUUACAUCAGCAGACAUGUCAUAUUUGAUGAGAAGGUUUUUCCCUUCUCUCAUACUAUACAUACUGAAUAUCAACAGGGAUCAGAUUUAUACAAACAGUGGAUAAAAGGAGUACUAUCUUCUAUUUCCAGUUCUACUAAGCAGAAUCAAUCACAAGACAAUAUAUCAAGGGAGCAUUUGCAGCAUACCAGAUCAACUCAAACAACUUCAGUAAUACAGGACAAUGAGUUCAGUACAGGUAAUCCUGCGAGCCAAUCACAUUUCCAGAUAGUAUCUGAUGCUGAAAUGCAGAAUGAUCUCCAUAAUGCCUCUGGAGUUACCGAAUUGCACUUGCCAUCUCCAAUCAUAGAGGAACAAAUACCUACAAGUCAAGAGACUACCUCAACAUCAAAUGCUAAUACAGAGCAUAUACAAAUCAGUUCUGAAACUGAACAGGUGCAAGGUACUUCUUCAACUCAUCCUAUGCAAACAAGACUUCGAUCUGGAAUUAUUAAAGCAAAUCCCAAAUAUGCAUGUCUAGUUGAAUAUCAGGUUCCUAUAGAACCAAAAUCAGUAAAGUCAGCAUUAGCAGACCAAGGAUGGUAUCAAGCAAUGAAAGAAGAAAUGGAUGCCUUAUAUCAGAAUCAAACCUGGGAUUUAGUUCCUCGAAAUGAUCAUAUGCAUGUUAUCGGAUGCAGAUGGGUGUUCAAGGCAAAACUUGCACCUGAUGGAAGCCUGGAUAGACUCAAAGCAAGGCUUGUAGCCAAAGGCUUCCAUCAAGAAGAAGGUCUUGAUUUCACAGAAACCUUCAGCCCUGUAGUAAAACAGGCAACAAUCCGAAUAAUUCUAUCAGUAGCUAUGAUGAAACAAUGGAAAAUUCAUCAAUUAGAUGUCAAAAAUGCCUUCUUACAUGGAACCUUAAGUGAAACAGUAUAUAUGGAGCAGCCUCCAGGAUUUAAAGAAUCACAAAAGCCUCACCAUGUCUGUCUUCUUCGAAGAUCUCUUUAUGGACUUCGACAAGCUCCUCGAGCUUGGUUUGAUAGGUUUAGCAGUUUCCUACUCGAAUAUGGAUUUUUCUGCAGCUCUACUGAUCCUUCUCUAUUCAUUCUGCAUACUAAAACAGCAACCAUUCUCUUAUUAUUGUAUGUAGAUGAUAUAAUUCUCACUGGAAGCUCUCCUCACAUGAUUUCUGCUCUUAUUAAUUCUCUGAGUAUUCAUUUUCAUAUGAAGGAUUUAGGAUCCCUGCACUAUUUCCUCGGCAUUGAAGCUACACGAACUUCAGAUUAUCUGUUCUUAUGUCAAACCAAGUAUGCUCUAGACCUUCUUACUCGAGCUCAUAUGCUUAACUCAAAACCAGUUUCAACUCCUCUUGCAUUAAAACCACCUAUUCUAAUCAAUGAUACUAUACCUUUGACCAAUCCUACUGAAUAUCGAAGUCUAGUUGGAGGUCUGCAAUAUCUUACAUUAACCAGACCAGACAUUGCUUAUGCUACUAAUAUUCUCUGUCAAAGAAUGCAGCAACCUACAAUUGCUGACUUCAACCGGUUAAAAAGAGUCUUGCGAUAUAUCAAGGGAACUAUCAAGCUUGGCUUAUUCCUUCAUUCUCACAGUACCAUGAAUCUCUAUGGUUUCUCAGAUGCUGAUUGGGCAGGGUGUACAGAAACCAGAAGAUCAACAACUGGUUUUUGUAUAUAUCUUGGAUCUAACCUUAUAUCCUGGGCAGCAAAGAAACAACCUACAGUGAGCAGAUCUUCUACUGAAGCCGAAUACCGUGCUCUUGCAUCAGCCACUGCUGAUCUUACUUGGGUUAGUUUUGUAUUGCGUGAUAUAGGUUGUUCUCUUAAUCCUCCUAUUCAUUUGUACUGUGAUAAUAAAUCAGCCAUCUCUCUCACUUUAAAUCCUGUUUUACACGCUCGAACCAAACAUAUUGAAGUAGAUUUCCACUUCGUUCGGGAAAAAGUAUCUUCAGGAUCUUUACAAAUCAGAUACAUUCCAAGUGCUUAUCAAUUAGCUGAUAUUUUCACCAAAUCACUGACACGAAGUGUACAUUCUUAUAUGAGAACCAAAUUGGGAAUUUGUACUCUACCUAUUCCCAAUUUGAGGGGGGAUGUUAGAGAGAUAAAACAGAUAUCAAAAGAGCAAUUAAACACAGGAGCUAAUAAUAGUGGAAGAAUCAGACUUAGCGAAGUAACUGAGGCAGAGAAGGCUGGAACAGAGGAAGCUAGAGCAGAGGAGAGUCGUUAGCUGAAGAAUCUGGAGCAGAGGAAGAUUGAUGAGCUGGCGAUCCAUGGCAUGAAUUGAUGAGCUGGUGAUCCAUGGCAUCAAUGAGCUGGCAAUCCAUGGCAUCAAAAUCUGGAAGAACAGAAGUUGAUCAAGCAGGAUUAAAGGAACUGCACAGAUUAAAGCUAGAAGGACUCUCGCAUAUUUCUAUAUUGGUUAUUCUGUUGUAACAAGUUUGUAACAGAAGUACUUGAACUACCUGCACUAGUAUAAAAGGAUAAGAGAAUGAGAGUAGAGUCAGCAAACUUACCUUCAUCCUUUAAAACUCAGUUUUCUCUUGGAAUCAUCUGUAGCAAUUCUCUUCAUCUCUGCAUUUUCUCAAGAAUGGUGAAGUUUUGUAAAGCGUGAUCUCGAACUUCAGAAGAAUGAAUACAUUUCAGCUGAGGUAUUACUCAUUGAUUGUUCAAGAGUUGAAAUCUCUUUCAUAUUCAGAUCGUAUUCUAUGUUCAAUUUCUUCUCAUCCCCUCCAGUUUCUGCAAUUCAAACCUUAAUUUCUCAUUACUUAUAGAGCGAGACUUUGAUUUACCUUCAUAACACAGUUUUAAUUGUCAGAGAUUCCUGACCUCUAAAUUGGUUUUAUUAUGUCAAUCUUCCCCUUCCUCACUCUGCGACUCGCACGCUCUAAAACUAGGGGAUGUACAACAUAAAAUCAAUUUGGCUUACGACGCAACAAGUACCCAGAACCUUAAGGAGAGACUGCUCUCGAGACUUGUUGAAGUAUUGCACACUUCGGUUGUCAGUGGUGCCAGUGCUUGAUUAUGGCUAGGGAGAUCGAUAUGCUUGGAAGAUCUAUUGGUUCCGUUUGCACCAAAACAUGACCAAUCUUGGUUAUUAUAAACUGAAAAUAGACUCAGUUGAUGAGAGAAAAAUUUGAUCAUUUAAAAAUAAAAUUAUCAAUAACUUGAUAAAUUGACAAUCCGAAGGAAUUGACAAAAAGUAAAACUGAUCAUCACGAAUGCAACCAUCAAGAAAGUAACCAUGGACUUAGUAUAAUCAAGCAAUUGUCAAAUGGGAAAAUUACUAAAAAAGUCCUAAAUCUAUUACAAUUGAGCUAAUUCAGUUAUAAAUUUAUUCUUUUGACCAAUUGAAUCCUAAACCUUUUACAAUUAUUCCCGAUCAGUCCAUUCGGCCAAAAUUGGCCUGCCAUCGACAUUCUUUUAAUGAUAUUUUAUUUUUUUGAAAUUUUUUAUUAAUCUUUUUCGUUUUAUCUUUUUUUUUUCCCUCCUCCCUCUCCCUCCUUCCUCCUUCUUCCUUUGGCUUUGGUGACCGGCCAAAGGAGAGGGCUGGCGGGUCGCCGAACUAAGGCGGCCGAGCUAGCUCACCUCGCUAGAUGUGGCAAGGGGGGCCUCGCUGUCGCCGGGUCUGGCGAGCUCGCGCCUAGCAACGGCGGGGCAAAACCCCGGCGGACUUGCCUUGCCAGUCAGCAAGCUCGUGCAAAGCGAUAGCGAGGCCAAACCUCGUCGAAUCUGGUGAGGAAGGGCUCACCAUCGCAUUUGGUGGAGCCCUUCUCGCCUGAUCUAGUGAGGGCUGGCCUCAUGCUGCGAUUGCGAGGCGAGCCCUUGCCAGAUCUGGCAGGGGUUCACCCCGCCGUCGCUUUGCGCGAGCUCGUCGGAUUGCCUCAGUCCGGCGACCCGCCAGCCUAGCCGGUCGCUGAAGCCAAAGGAAGGAGGAGGGAGGAGAGAGGAAGAAGGAAGAGAGAGAAGGAAAAAAGAAGAUAAAAACAAUAAUAAAAUAUUUCAAAAAAAAAAUAUUAUUAAAAAAAAAUGUCGUCAACGCCGGCCGGCUAAUUUUGGUUAGAUGGAUUGAUGGGGAAUAAUUGUAAAAUGUUUAUGAUUCAAUUGGUCAAAAAAAUAAGUGUAAGACUGAACUAGCAUAAUUAUAAUAGGUUUAGAACUUUUUUGGUAAUUUUUCCAUUGUCAAAUAGUAGAAUCGAAGAAGCCUUCAAGGUAGAAAAGUUAAUGUAAUGCAUCAGAGCUUACUUUUGGGCUACCUUGAAGCAGCUAUUCGAGAAACAAAGGAACAAAAUGACGAAUCACAGAACAAGACACAUUUAUGUGAUCGGGUUUAUGGUCGCCAAUGCGAUCAACGAUGUCAUCUUCAAGCCCAGGACAUUCAAUUAGUGCAUACCGAUCCAAACGAACACGGUAGCUUAUGAGUGUGUUUCCCAAACUCUUAAUUAGUUGAACAACGAAAAUAAUUUAGACAAGAGAUCCCACCUCUAGUGGGGAUUUUACAAAGGCCUAAAUAUCCUACCUCGAAUCUAACGUCAGGAGUGUCAACUUCCAUAUCCUAAUCAAGUGGUUGAACAUGUAUGACAACGACAAAAGGAAUGGUCAGGCCAAUAAAUAAAAAACCACAUCCUCGUUGGUUGACACUACCCCUUACCCAAGAAAAUUCAAAUCUCCUAACUUAAGUUGUUUUCGACAAAAAAAAAAAAAAAAAAAAAAGAAUUCUCAAGACUUAGAUUGUUCCCUUUGUCUUUAUUAAAAAUUGCAUUUACUUGGUAUAUGAAUUUACCUAAGUCAAUUCAUACUUGGGCUGAGAUGAAAAUGUAACUCUGUUCUUAAUUUCAUAGAAAAAUACCUGAAGUAUCAAUUACUAAUUUGGCUAAAAUUUAUCAUUACUGUANNNNNNNNNNNNNNNNNNNNNNNNNNNNNNNNNNNNNNNNNNNNNNNNNNNNNNNNNNNNNNNNNNNNNNNNNNNNNNNNNNNNNNNNNNNNNNNNNNNNNNNNNNNNNNNNNNNNNNNNNNNNNNNNNNNNNNNNNNNNNNNNNNNNNNNNNNNNNNNNNNNNNNNNNNNNNNNNNNNNNNGAGCAACUACUUAAGACAAAGAUAGAGAACACAUGAAAACUUUACACCAAACGCACCUCUUGUUGAAAAAUAUGAGUCAUAUGAUGAAUCAAACCAAGAUAAAAUUUAGCACGAAAAGUUCAAAUUUACUGAUGACAAAGGGGCACAUGAUGACUUUUGACCAUCUAAUUUGAAAGAAUCAGAUUCUACAAAAGGGGUAUUUUUUUUGCACUAAAAAUGACCAAUUUUGGUUAUUUAAAAUAUGUAAAAAAAACCUUGGUCGAUGAGAGCAGAGUUUUGUUAUUUAUAAACAAAAUUAUCAACCCCUUGAAGAAUUGAUAGCUUGAAGAAAUCAACAAAAAGUGAAUUAAGCAACCUCAGAUGCAACAACGUAGUAAAAUAAAGCGGAGUCGAAGAAACCGUCAAAUAGUAGAGUCAAUGUAACCAUUCGGUAACCGUUUGUAACAUCUAUUUAUAAUCACUUUUGGUAAUCUCUAUUUGUAACAUCCAUUAAUAAUCAUCAAUUGUAAGUUUUAACUACAUGCAUCCCUUUCUUUAAAGGUUCUCACACACAAACAAAUAAUCAUCAAUUGUAAGUUUUAAUUACACGCAUCCCUUCCUUUGAAGGUUCCCACACAUGAAUAAAUAAACGCGUUAUCAUUCUUGUACUAUAGUUAUAGUUUCCAAAUUCGAAUUGGCAAUUAAAUAUUGGCAUGUUUCUGAGCUCUACUAGAUCCGCAUCAUCGAUUAAAUUUUGGCACAUAUCUUGAUUAUAAUUCUUGAGUGCCUUAUUGUCGAUUAAAUUCAAACAUUUUACUUUUAUAUUCUCAAGCUGCCCAACAUAGUGUAUGUACAUGUAGUUUCGUUUAAAAUGAAGUCAUUGAUUCCCUUUAUGAUAUUUCUUAUCUGAAAUCGCCUCUUCUUUAAUGAAAAUUAAAAAGUCUUUCACUGAACGGUAGUUUCAUUUAAAAUGAAGUCAUUGAUUCCCUUUAUGAUAUUUCUUAUCUGAAAUCGCCUCUUCUUUAAUGAAAAUUAAAAAGUCUUUCACUGAACGGUAUUUUUUCCUGAAAUUAAUCGAAUUCCGGCAAAUUUGUGAUGACGAUGUAGUAAAAGGUUUGAGAAUUUAGAAAAGAGAAAACCUCUGGUUUGCCUUCAGCUGGACAUGAAACUGCUUCAAAAAGAAAACAGCUUUCAAAUGGACAUUUGGUUUACAGUUGCCCUUUGUAUAUCCCUCUCACAUCCUAGAAGAGGGGACAAAAUCUCUAAACAUUUGACACAAAUGGGAAGUACUUUCAAUUUGGUAACCAAUGAUGAUGGCCUUUUAUUGAAGACCAUAGACAAGCAAAGCUCCAACAGCACCAACACCAGCUACCAGACCUAUGAUAACCCCAAUCGGGGGCAACCCACCACCGAUUGCUUUUCCAGUGUUCACGUC